GCGAUACUAAGCUAAGCCCUGGGAAGAGUCAGAGUUGAGAGUGGACUUGGCACAAUAGUGAGAAAAGCUUGGCCAAGAAUUUACUUUGAAAACACUAUAAGGAUAAGAGAGGAGGAGUGGUGGGCAGACACAGAUCCUGGAGAAGGUAGGAAAAGAAGAGGGGUGAUAGAUAUGUCACUUUCCCUGGAUAUAGAGUAUAUGGGAAGAGUUCAAGAUGAGAAUAGAAGGUAAAUUGAAAAGAGAAUGCCAAAGUAUAUGUUUUAAUAUGCAACUGAUAAGAGGGAGACACCAAAAGUUUGAGUAGAGAACUUUUGUGAUCAGGACAGUGGAUAGAGAAGAUGGCUCAAGAAGCUGGACAAAGAGUGAAUUUAAGAACCGGGAGACUAGAGGCAAAAAAAAAAAACACCAACAAACCAAACUGGGAGGCUAUUAUAGUAGUUUGAGAAGAAGAGUUAAGGGGUAGAUAAGAAGGUAGUGGGAAUUGAAGGGCAGAGCCAUUAUAUAGGUGAGAUUGACAGGUGAGUGGAGGUAAGAAAGGCAGGUCUGUAAGGGAGGAAAAAGGGGGACAGAUCUCUCUGAGGUUGCUAGCCUCCAGCUAAGAAGAUGGUGAAACCAUCUCCAAGAGGAAAAAAGGGAAGUGCAAGUAGGGGGAAGUUUGGGAAAGAAAGCGAUAAGUUUAGGACUGGAUAUAAUUUGAGAUUUCAGUAGGAAGCUAGUUGGAAAUGUCUAGCAGGUUACUGGAGAUUGGAAAAGGAGUCCUAAGGAAACAUAAUUUGGGGUAUCAUUUUCAUAGAUAAUUGAAGUUAUGAGGAUGAUUGAGAUCACAAAGGGAGACAGUACAGUGAGGGAAGAGGAAGAUCAAGGAAAGAACCUUAUGGACAUUCACACUUAAGGAAUGACAGGGAGAUGAGGAACCAACAAAGGAUUUAGAGGAGUAGAAAUCAGAGAUGAAGGAGAGCUGUGAACUUGUAGCACCAUGGAAGACUUCCCAUUCUCCCCAAUCUGAUGCGGCCUACAUGUAUUCACUUCCUCCCUUAACUGACACUGUCUUCUCCUUGUCUUUCCCAGAUGACUGGUGCUAUGAUUCCCAAAAAAGCAUAAUUAAAUGUUUAGAUCCAUCGUUGUGGAAGUGGGGCUGCCUAGGUAGUAGUCAAUCCCCAAUUAACAUUGUCACCCAAAAUGCCAUUUACAGAAGGAGAGAUAGUUUCCGGUUCAGUGGCUAUGACAAACAGGACAAUUGGGUUAUUAAAAACAAUGGCCACACAGGUGAGUCAUUUCUCAGUGGUUUGGGGGAGGGACCAAACGGAGAGCA
rnacentral:lncRNA from 1 species